GUGCUUGCGUCGGCAGCGCAUACACCAAAAUGGGAACGAUACAGUGAAGCUUAGCAUGGCCCCUGCGCAAGGAUGACUCGCAAAUUUGUGAAGCGUUCCAUAUUUUU